UGGGGAAUAUUGCACAAUGGGCGCAAGCCUGAUGCAGCCAUGCCGCGUGUGUGAAGAAGGCCUUCGGGUUGUAAAGCACUUUCAGCGAGGAGGAAGGUGGUGAACUUAAUACGUUCAUCAAUUGACGUUACUCGCAGAAGAAGCACCGGCUAACUCCGUGCCAGCAGCCGCGGUAAUACGGAGGGUGCAAGCGUUAAUCGGAAUUACUGGGCGUAAAGCGCACGCAGGCGGUUUGUUAAGUCAGAUGUGAAAUCCCCGGGCUCAACCUGGGAACUGCAUUUGAAACUGGCAAGCUAGAGUCUCGUAGAGGGGGGUAGAAUUCCAGGUGUAGCGGUGAAAUGCGUAGAGAUCUGGAGGAAUACCGGUGGCGAAGGCGGCCCCCUGGACGAAGACUGACGCUCAGGUGCGAAAGCGUGGGGAGCAAAACAGGAUUAGAUACCCUGGUAGUCCACGCUGUAAAACGAUGUCGAUUUUGGAGGUUGUGCCCUUGAGGCGUGGCUUCCGGAGCUAACGCGUUAAAUCGACCGCCUGGGGAGUACGGCC
rnacentral:rRNA from 1 species